UUGAUUAACUUUCCAGGAUCGUCGUCGUAAUCCUUCACUGUCUUUUCACCGUUCAACUAUCCCUUGCCCCUGAUUUGGCUCUGCCGGGAUUGUUAGAUAAAAGAACGUGCCCCAGGUAUGCCCCAUGAUAAGGCUCAAACAUCACUAUACUGGGGAUGCCCCACGAUAGGGCUAAUAGGGACUUGGAGGGAGAAUCUGUACUGCCGGGAACGUGAAGAUGAACAACUUC
rnacentral:lncRNA from 1 species